GACGAACGCUGGCGGCGUGCCUAAUACAUGCAAGUCGAGCGAAUGGAUGGGAGCUUGCUCCCUGAAAUUAGCGGCGGACGGGUGAGUAACACGUGGGUAACCUGCCUGUAAGAUUGGGAUAACUCCGGGAAACCGGAGCUAAUACCGGAUAACAUUUUGAACCGCAUGGUUCAAAAAUUGAAAGAUGGUUUCGGCUAUCACUUACAGAUGGACCCGCGGCGCAUUAGCUAGUUGGNGAGGUAACGGCUCGCCAAGGCAACGAUGCGUAGCCGACCUGAGAGGGUGAUCGGCCACACUGGGACUGAGACACGGCCCAGGACUCCGUACGGAGGCAGCAGUAGGGAAUCUUCCGCAAUGGAC
rnacentral:rRNA from 1 species